UACAGAGGGGGCAAGCGUUGUUCGGAAUUACUGGGCGUAAAGGGCGCGUAGGCGGCCUGCUAAGUCGAACGUGAAAUCCCUGGGCUCAACCCAGGAACUGCGUCCGAUACUGGUUGGCUUGAAUCCGGGAGAGGGAUGUGGAAUUCCAGGUGUAGCGGUGAAAUGCGUAGAUAUCUGGAGGAACACCGGUGGCGAAGGCGGGUCUCUGGGCAACAACUGACGCUGAGGAGCGAAAGCGUGGGGAGCGAACAGG
rnacentral:rRNA from 1 species